UACGUAGGGUCCGAGCGUUGUCCGGAAUUAUUGGGCGUAAAGAGCUCGUAGGCGGUUUGUCGCGUCUGCUGUGAAAUCCCGAGGCUCAACCUCGGGUCUGCAGUGGGUACUGGCAGACUGGAGUGCGGUAGGGGAGAAUGGAAUUCCUGGUGUAGCGGUGGAAUGCGCAGAUAUCAGGAGGAACACCGAUGGCGAAGGCAGCUCGCUGGGACGGUACUGACGCUGAGGCGCGAAAGCGUGGGGAGCAAACAGG
rnacentral:rRNA from 1 species